rnacentral:rRNA from 1 species
GACGAACGCUGGCGGCGUGCUUAACACAUGCAAGUCGAACGGUAAGGCCCUUCGGGGUACACGAGUGGCGAACGGGUGAGUAACACGUGGGUGAUCUGCCCUGCACUUCGGGAUAAGCCUGGGAAACUGGGUCUAAUACCGGAUAGGACUCCUGCCUGCAUGGGUGGGGGUGGAAAGCUUUUGCGGUGUGGGAUGGGCCCGCGGCCUAUCAGCUUGUUGGUGGGGUGAUGGCCUACCAAGGCGACGACGGGUAGCCGGCCUGAGAGGGUGACCGGCCACACUGGGACUGAGAUACGGCCCAGACUCCUACGGGAGGCAGCAGUGGGGAAUAUUGCACAAUGGGCGCAAGCCUGAUGCAGCGACGCCGCGUGAGGGAUGACGGCCUUCGGGUUGUAAACCUCUUUCAGCACAGACGAAGCGCAAGUGACGGUAUGUGCAGAAGAAGGACCGGCCAACUACGUGCCAGCAGCCGCCUGUAA